rnacentral:rRNA from 1 species
AUGCAAAAAAUCAGGGGGAAUGGUAGGCAGAAACCACCCGAGGGUGCUAUAAAGCUUAAUAUUGAUGCUGAUUUUGAUGGUGACAGCGGAUCAAGUAGCACUGGAGUUAUUCUGCGUGACGCCACGGGUUUUUUCUUGGCAGCCUCAUGCAGCGACAUCACCUUUGCAGAAGAUGCAGCGAUAGCAGAUGCCCGAGGAUCAAGAGACGGCCUACUACCGGCAAAUGAGAUGGGCUGUAAUAUUCUUCACGUCGAGGCAGAUUAUAUGGAGGUAAUUACAAUUAUGCAUAACAGCGGAAAUUCUCUUGGUCCUGCAGCGGCCAUCUACAAGCAGUGCUCCUUCUUAGCUUGUAAUUUUAGCUUUAUAGAUUUUAAUCACUGUCCUAGGAAGGCCAAUAUGACGGCUAAUGUGUUGGCUAAGAACUGGGAGACCUCUCGAACUAUUGUUUGA